CUGGGUUAGCAGUGCUGGGGGUUGGCAGCAACACCACGCUGCUGCUGAGACUGCUGUGGUACGCAGCACGCUACGCCCCUCAUGCUGUGCUCCACUCUUCACUGAAUGCUCUUACAGCAUCUUCCAUGAAGGACUCGGAGGGUAAUGUGUGGGUGCAGGGAGGCUCACUUCUCCUGGCUCAUGGCGGAGUUUGUGUACUGGGGACUUCUCCAAGUUCAAGAAGGAGUCCAGGCAGUCAGUGUGUAGUGCUCUGGAGAGUGGGGUGAUCCAAGUCGGGUGUGGAAGCCGGGCACGGCAGCACACACCUACCCUGACAUACCCACUGCGGGCAGCAGCAUGGGCUUGUUAUGACCCAGCACAUGCACGUCCCCGCACCACCACAGACACUCUGGACAGUUUCCUUCAUGUUCCACUGGGAGACCUCACCAAGUCUAUCACAGAUGUGUUCGGGUUAGUGGUGUAUACAGAGACGUGUGGUGGGGAGCUGGAGAGUGAGGCUGAAGAUGUGAUCACCUUACAAACACUACUGCAAGGUACUGAACCUAACUCACCACCACCUGCACUCCUUCCCCACCAACAACUCAACCAGUACUUGUGUAUAGUGCGCGGACUACGUGUUGUGUUCAGCACUCAAGCUGAGAAACUCAUCCGUGGUUACUACGUGGCUACCAGGAGAAUUCGUGGUGACUGCGUACAAGGCUCUGCUGUUCCUAUUACUGCUAUAAA